GACGAACGCUGGCGGCGUGCUUAACACAUGCAAGUCGAACGGAAAGGCCCUGCUUUUGUGGGGUGCUCGAGUGGCGAACGGGUGAGUAACACGUGAGUAACCUGCCCUUGACUUUGGGAUAACUUCAGGAAACUGGGGCUAAUACCGGAUAGGAGCUCCUGCUGCAUGGUGGGGGUUGGAAAGUUUCGGCGGUUGGGGAUGGACUCACGGCUUAUCAGCUUGUUGGUGGGGUAGUGGCUUACCAAGGCUUUGACGGGUAGCCGGCCUGAGAGGGUGACCGGCCACAUUGGGACUGAGAUACGGCCCAGACUCCUACGGGAGGCAGCAGUGGGGAAUAUUGCACAAUGGGCGGAAGCCUGAUGCAGCAACGCCGCGUGCGGGAUGACGGCCUUCGGGUUGUAAACCGCUUUCGCCUGUGACGAAGCGUGAGUGACGGUGAUGGGUAAAGAAGCACCGGCUAACUACGUG
rnacentral:rRNA from 1 species